GAUGAACGCUAGCGGGAGGCUUAACACAUGCAAGUCGAGGGGCAGCAUAAGGUAGCAAUACUUUGAUGGCGACCGGCGCACGGGUGAGUAACGCGUAUGUAACCUGUCCUUAACAGGAGGAUAACCCGGAGAAAUUCGGACUAAUACUGCAUAAGAUUAUGAAUAGGCAUCUAUUAAUAAUUAAAGCUACGGCGGUUAGGGAGGGGCAUGCGUAACAUUAGCUGGUUGGUAGGGUAACGGCCUACCAAGGCAAUGAUGUUUAGGGGACCUGAGAGGGUGACCCCCCACACUGGUACUGAGACACGGACCAGACUCCUACGGGAGGCAGCAGUGAGGAAUAUUGGUCAAUGGGCGCAAGCCUGAACCAGCCAUCCCGCGUGCAGGAAGACGGCGCUAUGCGUUGUAAACUGCUUUUCCAGGGAGAGAAACUUGCGCACGUGUUGCGCAAUUGACGGUACCCUGGGAAUAAGCAUCGGCUAACUCCGUG
rnacentral:rRNA from 1 species